ensembl:lncRNA
AAUGUGUGGAGGAGUCGUCACCAAAAUCCCAGAUUUCCACCACGGAAAAUAGCCUUAUAUCAGCUGCAUUGAAAACGAUGUCUCUCGUUAUUGCCGUGGCUCUAGCACUUUACUGUGGAAGCUGUCUGGCCUUUCAGUGUUCUCUUUACAGGCAUGGUUGAUUUUAGUAGAGUGCCGUGGUGGUUCUGUAGGUGUCUUUGCGUAGUGCUCAUGUUAGCCGUGGCAUACGGGACUAUUUUCUUACAGUGCUUACAUGUUUUCGUGAAUUGUCUGUUACUCUGUCGCCGUUUAUUAUUUCCACCGGGUACCUGCCACACAAACUAUUUAAAAGUGGUGGGGGCAUCUUCUAUGCUAAUAUCCCCCUCACACUCUGUCAUGCUGAUAUUGUGAGACAGCUUUUCACCUCGAUGAGAAAUAUUGUCACGUUUUAAUAUCGCGAGAUCUCGUCACAUCCCUAGUAAUCACAGAUAGUUGCAGGUAGUAACGGGUAGUCUCAGGUAGUAACAGAUAGUCUCAGGUAGUAACAGAUAGUCUCAGGUAGUAACAGAUAGUCUCAGGUAGUAACAGGUAGUCUCAAGUAGUAACAGAUAGUCUCAGGUAGUAACAGGUAGUCUCAAGUAGUAACAGGUAGUCUCAAGUAGUAACAGAUAGUCUCAGGUAGUCUCAGGUAGUAAAGGGUAGUCUCAGGUAGUAACAGAUAGUCUCAGGUAGUAACAGAUAGUCUCAGGUAGUAACAGGUAGCCUCAGGUAGUAACAGGUAGUCUCAGGUAGUAACAGAUAGUCUCAGGUAGUAACAGGUAGUCUCAGGUAGUAACAGGUAGUCUCAGGUAGUAACAGGUAGUCUCAGGUAGUAACAGGUAGUCUCAGGUAGUAACAGACAGUCUCAGGUAGUAACGGGUAGUCUCAGGUAGUAACAGACAGUCUCAGGUAGUAACAGGUAACCGAACAUUAUGUGGUGAACACACACAGGCACGAUUUAUACACACAGUGACACGUUCCACCCUCAGAACACCUCUCGUCCAAUCAGAUCAGUGGACUGGAACUAAGAGCUGUAUAAGUAGUUAAUAACACACUCCAGACCGUGUGCAGGAACAUAAUCCAUUUCGGAGUAGUAACAGUAACUCCGCUUUAUCACACCAUCCUGUCAUUGAUCAUUUUCCUAUAACAGCACCACCUGGAGUGAUUAUUUCAAUACUUACUGGUGUUUUUUCUGUAAAAAGCCACGCCCCUCACACAACUAGUGAAGUUCUGUUUUUAUUUCCUCGGAAUGUUCCGGGUUUUUACAAACAGCUUUAUAACUACAGUAACAUUUUUAACUUUCCUGAAGUAGUCGGCAGAAAUCUCUCUGGAGUUUGACUUGCAUUUAUUUAUUUAUUUAUUAAUUGAUUGUUGCUGAGC